UUCCGGUUGAUCCUGCCGGACCCGACUGCUAUCAGAGUGAGAUUAAGCCAUGUGAGUUAACGUAGCAAUACGUGGCGCACGGCUCAGUAACACGUAGUCAACAUGCCCAGAGGACGUGGAUAACCUCGGGAAACUGAGUCUAAACCGCGAUAAGUGAGGAUUUCUGGAAUGGUUCCUGACUAAAAUCUAUAUGGCCUCUGGAUUGGACUGCGGCCGAUCAGGCUGUUGGUGAGGUAUGGCCCACCAAACCUGUAACUGGUACGGGCUCUGAGAGGAGGAGCCCGGAGAUGGGCACUGAGACAAGGGCCCAGGCCCUAUGGGGCGCAGCAGGCGCGAAACCUCUGCAAUAGGCGAAAGCCUGACAGGGUUACUCUGAGUGAUUUCUGCUAAGGGGAUCUUUUGGCACCUCUAAGAAUGGUGCAGAAUAAGGGGUGGGCAAGUCUGGUGUCAGCCGCCGCGGUAAUACCAGCACCCCGAGUGGUCGGGACGAUUAUUGGGCCUAAAGCAUCCGUAGCCGGUUCUACAAGUCUUCCGUUAAAUCCAGCCGCUCAACGGAUGGGCCGCGGAGGAUACUACAGGACUAGGAGGCGGGAGAGGCAAGCGGUACUCAGUGGGUAGGGGUAAAAUCCUUUGAUCCAUUGAAGACCACCAGUGGCGAAGGCGGCUUGCCAGAACGCGCUCGACGGUGAGGGAUGAAAGCUGGGGGAGCAAACCGGAUUAGAUACCCGGGUAGUCCCAG
rnacentral:rRNA from 1 species